GACAGGGUUUCCAGGAAAUAGCUCCGUUGAAAAGGGCUUGCUGUGCAAUCCCGGGGACCCACAUGACCCAAGGAUCUAAAACUAGUUGAUAAGACACUGUCACUGAAGGCUGCACAUCCUUUGGAUGCAAGAUCCAGAGAACUCAUGCUGCAAUUGAGCUGGAAGUUUCUUCCCUGCUGACGAACCUCCAUGCGCUGGAGGGUGCUGAAUGGCUCAUCCAGCUGCGUGUGACUCUCUGACCUCUCUGAAUACCAGUUUGCCAGGCCAGUUGUGUUCAUUGGUGCAAUAGUGGCAUGACUAUCAGUGCGGGCAACCUAGCACUUCCUCAUUGGAUUUGAGUAAUCCUGGAA